rnacentral:rRNA from 1 species
UACGUAGGUGGCUAGCGUUGUCCGGAUUUACUGGGCGUAAAGAGCGCGCAGGCGGUCGUUCAAGUCGAGUGUGAAAGCCCCCGGCUCAACUGGGGAGGGUCACUCGAUACUGAUCGACUCGAAGGCAGGAGAGGGAAGCGGAAUUCCCGGUGUAGUGGUGAAAUGCGUAGAUAUCGGGAGGAACACCAGUGGCGAAGGCGCUUUCUGGGUCUUACCUGGACGCUGAGGAACGAAAGCCAGGGGAGCGAUCCCGGG